GGCUGGCAUCGCUCAGUUGGUAGAGCAUUAAGCUCUUAAUCUCAGGAUCAUGGGUUUGAGUCCCAUUGAGGCGGGUUGGCCU